CCCCCCUCCAGAGGCAUUGCAGGUGUGACUGCUGUGUCGUGUGUGCAUCAGUAGGUGGAGAGAGGAGAGAGGACAUGUAUAUGUUCAGUGUUCUGGCCUGUGGACUUCUGAAUGAUGAGAAUCAUAACAUC